UGGCUCAGUUGGUAAGAGCGUGGCGCCAACAACGCUAAGGUCGUGGGUUCAAUCCCAGC
rnacentral:tRNA from 1 species